AGAGUUUGAUCAUGGCUCAGAUUGAACGCUGGCGGCAGGCCUAACACAUGCAAGUCGAGCGCGAAAAUACUUCGGUAUGAGUAGAGCGGCGGACGGGUGAGUAACGCGUAGGAAUCUACCUAGUAGUGGGGGACAACUCGGGGAAACUCGAGCUAAUACCGCAUACGCCCUACGGGGGAAAGCGGGGGAUCUUCGGACCUCGUGCUAUUAGAUGAGCCUGCGUAAGAUUAGCUAGUUGGUGGGGUAAUGGCCUACCAAGGCGACGAUCUUUAGCUGGUCUGAGAGGAUGAUCAGCCACACCGGGACUGAGACACGGCCCGGACUCCUACGGGAGGCAGCAGUGGGGAAUAUUGCGCAAUGGGCGAAAGCCUGACGCAGCCAUGCCGCGUGUGUGAAGAAGGCCUUAGGGUUGUAAAGCACUUUCAAUUGGGAGGAAAGGUUCACGAUUAAUACUCGUGAGCUGUGACGUUACCUUUAGAAGAAGCACCGGCUAACUCCGUGCCAGCAGCCGCGGUAAUACGGAGGGUGCAAGCGUUAAUCGGAAUUACUGGGCGUAAAGCGCGCGUAGGUGGCUUGUUAAGUCGGAUGUGAAAGCCCCGGGCUCAACCUGGGAAUUGCAUCCGAUACUGGCAAGCUAGAGUGCGGGAGAGGGAGGUAGAAUUCCACGUGUAGCGGUGAAAUGCGUAGAUAUGUGGAGGAAUACCAGUGGCGAAGGCGGCCUCCUGGCUCGACACUGACACUGAGGUGCGAAAGCGUGGGUAGCAAACAGGAUUAGAUACCCUGGUAGUCCACGCCGUAAACGAUGUCUACUAGCUGUAGGGGUACUUGAGACCUUUGUAGCGCAGCUAACGCACUAAGUAGACCGCCUGGGGAGUACGGCCGCAAGGUUAAAACUCAAAUGAAUUGACGGGGGCCCGCACAAGCGGUGGAGCAUGUGGUUUAAUUCGAUGCAACGCGAAGAACCUUACCAGGCUUUGACAUCCUAGAAACUUUCCAGAAAUGGAUUGGUGCCUUCGGGAAUCUAGUGACAGGUGCUGCAUGGCUGUCGUC
rnacentral:rRNA from 1 species